rnacentral:rRNA from 1 species
AUUGAACGCUGGCGGCAGGCCUAACACAUGCAAGUCGAGCGGAUGACGGGAGCUUGCUCCUUGAUUCAGCGGCGGACGGGUGAGUAAUGCCUAGGAAUCUGCCUGGUAGUGGGGGACAACGUUUCGAAAGGAACGCUAAUACCGCAUACGUCCUACGGGAGAAAGCAGGGGACCUUCGGGCCUUGCGCUAUCAGAUGAGCCUAGGUCGGAUUAGCUAGUUGGUGGGGUAAUGGCUCACCAAGGCGACGAGCCGUAACUGGUCUGAGAGGAUGAUCAGUCACACUGGAACUGAGACGCGGUCCAGACUCCUACGGGAGGCAGCAGUGGGGAAUAUUGGACAAUGGGCGAAAGCCUGAUCCAGCCAUGCCGCGUGUGUGAAGAAGGUCUUCGGAUUGUAAAGCACUUUAAGUUGGGAGGAAGGGCAGUAAGCUAAUACCUUGCUGUUUUGACGUUACCGACAGAAUAAGCACCGGCUAACUCUGUGCCAGCAGCCGCCGUAAUAC